rnacentral:rRNA from 1 species
CAGAACGAACGCUGGCGGCGGGCCUCAUACAUGCAAGUCGAGCGCGAAAGUCCGCAAGGAUGAGUAAAGCGGCGCACGGGUGAGUAACACGUGGGUAAUCUACCUUUGGAUUGGAAUAACCUGUCGAAAGACGGGCUAAUGCCGAGUAAGCCUUCUUGAACGUGAAGUUCGAGACGGGAAAGAUGGCGCAAGCUAUCGCCGAAAGAUGAGCCUGCGUCCCAUUAGUUAGUUGGCGGGGUAAUGGCUUACCAAGACAAUGAUGGGUACCUGGUUUGAGAGAAUGAUCAGGCACACUGGAACUGAAACACGGUCCAGACUCCUACGGGAGGCAGCAGUGGGGAAUAUUGGACAAUGGGCGCAAGCCUGAUCCAGCAAUGCCGCGUGGGUGAAGACGGCCUGCGGGUUGUAAAGCCCUUUAGGCGGGGAGGAACGACGGGACGCGAAUACCGUUUCGAAGUGACGUUACCCGCAGAAUAAGCACCGGCUAACUCCGUG